rnacentral:miRNA from 1 species
UGAUCAUUUGCCCCGUCUUGU